UGAGGAAUAUUGGUCAAUGGGCGAUAGCCUGAACCAGCCAAGUCGCGUGAGGGAAGACGGUCCUAUGGAUUGUAAACCUCUUUUGCCGGGGAGCAAGGCGGUCCACGAGUGGGCGGUCGGAGAGUACCCGGAGAAAAAGCAUCGGCUAACUCCGUGCCAGCAGCCGCGGUAAUACGGAGGAUGCGAGCGUUAUCCGGAUUUAUUGGGUUUAAAGGGUGCGUAGGCGGGAUGUCAAGUCAGCGGUAAAAUCGAGGGGCUCAACCCCUUUCCGCCGUUGAAACUGGCGUUCUUGAGUGGAUGAGAAGUAUGCGGAAUGCGUGGUGUAGCGGUGAAAUGCAUAGAUAUCACGCAGAACUCCGAUUGCGAAGGCAGCAUGCCGGCAUCCGACUGACGCUGAUGCACGAAAGCGUGGGGAUCAAACAGG
rnacentral:rRNA from 1 species